rnacentral:rRNA from 1 species
GACGAACGCUGGCGGCGUGCCUAAUACAUGCAAGUCGAACGCAGUGGGGACGGGUGAGUAACACGUGGGUAACCUCCAAUCAGAGGGGAUAACACUUGGAAACAGGUGCUAAACCGAUACUGAGGGAUUGACCCGCGUUGCAUUAGCUAGUUGGUGAGGGAACGGCUCACCAAGGCCACGAUGCAUAGCCGACCUGAGAGUGUGAUAGGCCACACUGUGACUGAGCAGCGGCCCAGACUCCUACGGGAGGCAGCAGUAGGCAAUCUUCGGCAAUGGACGAAAGUCUAACCGAGCAACGCCGCGUGAUUGAAGAAGGUUUUCGGAUCGUAAAACUCUGUUGUUAGGGAAUCGGUAUCUAACCAGAAAGCCACGGCUAACUACGUGCCAGCCGCCGCGGUAAUAC